CUGGAGGUAUCAGAAGUGCGAAUGCUGACAUAAGUAACGAUAAAGCGGGUGAAAAGCCCGCUCGCCGGAAGACCAAGGGUUCCUGUCCAACGUUAAUCGGGGCAGGGUGAGUCGACCCCUAAGGCGAGGCCGAAAGGCGUAGUCGAUGGGAAACGGGUUAAUAUUCCCGUACUUGGUGUUACUGCGAAGGGGGGACGGAGAAGGCUAUGUUGGCCGGGCGACGGUUGUCCCGGUUUAAGCGUGUAGGUGUGUGUUCCAGGUAAAUCCGGUUCACUUUAACACUGAGGCGUGAUGACGAGGCACUACGGUGCUGAAGCAACAAAUGCCCUGCUUCCAGGAAAAGCCUCUAAGCAUCAGGUAACAUCAAAUCGUACCCCAAACCGACACAGGUGGUCAGGUAGAGAAUACCAAGGCGCUUGAGAGAACUCGGGUGAAGGAACUAGGCAAAAUGGUGCCGUAACUUCGGGAGAAGGCACGCUGACACGUAGGUGAAGUGAUUUACUCAUGGAGCUGAAGUCAGUCGAAGAUACCAGCUGGCUGCAACUGUUUAUUAAAAACACAGCACUGUGCAAACACGAAAGUGGACGUAUACGGUGUGACGCCUGCCCGGUGCCGGAAGGUUAAUUGAUGGGGUCAGCGCAAGCGAAGCUCCUGAUCGAAGCCCCGGUAAACGGCGGCCGUAACUAUAACGGUCCUAAGGUAGCGAAAUUCCUUGUCGGGUAAGUUCCGACCUGCACGAAUGGCGUAAUGAUGGCCAGGCUGUCUCCACCCGAGACUCAGUGAAAUUGAACUCGCUGUGAAGAUGCAGUGUACCCGCGGCAAGACGGAAAGACCCCGUGAACCUUUACUAUAGCUUGACACUGAACAUUGAGCCUUGAUGUGUAGGAUAGGUGGGAGGCUUUGAAGUGUGGACGCCAGUCUGCAUGGAGCCGGCCUUGAAAUACCACCCUUUAAUGUUUGAUGUUCUAACGUGGACCCGUGAUCCGGGUUGCGGACAGUGUCUGGUGGGUAGUUUGACUGGGGCGGUCUCCUCCUAAAGAGUAACGGAGGAGCACGAAGGUUGGCUAAUCCUGGUCGGACAUCAGGAGGUUAGUGCAAUGGCAUAAGCCAGCUUGACUGCGAGCGUGACGGCGCGAGCAGGUGCGAAAGCAGGUCAUAGUGAUCCGGUGGUUCUGAAUGGAAGGGCCAUCGCUCAACGGAUAAAAGGUACUCCGGGGAUAACAGGCUGAUACCGCCCAAGAGUUCAUAUCGACGGCGGUGUUUGGCACCUCGAUGUCGGCUCAUCACAUCCUGGGGCUGAAGUAGGUCCCAAGGGUAUGGCUGUUCGCCAUUUAAAGUGGUACGCGAGCUGGGUUUAGAACGUCGUGAGACAGUUCGGUCCCUAUCUGCCGUGGGCGCUGGAGAACUGAGGGGGGCUGCUCCUAGUACGAGAGGACCGGAGUGGACGCAUCACUGGUGUUCGGGUUGUCAUGCCAAUGGCACUGCCCGGUAGCUAAAUGCGGAAGAGAUAAGUGCUGAAAGCAUCUAAGCACGAAACUUGCCCCGAGAUGAGUUCUCCCUGAGACUUAGAGUCUCCUGAAGGAACGUUGAAGACGACGACGUUGAUAGGCCGGGUGUGUAAGCGCAGCGAUGCGUUGAGCUAACCGGUACUAAUGAACCGUGAGGCUUAACCUU
rnacentral:rRNA from 3 species